GGCGGAGUAGCACAGCGGUUAGUGCAGCGUCUUCAUAAGGCGUUGGUCGGUGGUCCGAAUCCACCUUCCGCCACCA
rnacentral:tRNA from 1 species